GGCAGAGGUGCCGAGCGUUAGGCGGAAUCACUGGGCUUAAAGCGUGUGUAGGCGGACGGGUAAGUACCUUGUGAAAUCCCACGGCUCAACCGUGGAACUGCUGGGUAUACUGCCUGUCUUGGGUCAUCUAGGGGCGAGCGGAACAAAUGGUGGAGCGGUGAAAUGCGUAGAUAUCAUUUGGAACGCCAAUGGUGAAAACAGCUCGCUGGGGAUGAUACUGACGCUGAGACACGAAAGCCAGGGGAGGCAAAACGGG
rnacentral:rRNA from 1 species